GUGGGGAAUCUUGCGCAAUGGGCGAAAGCCUGACGCAGCCAUGCCGCGUGAAUGAUGAAGGUCUUAGGAUUGUAAAAUUCUUUCACCGGGGACGAUAAUGACGGUACCCGGAGAAGAAGCUCCGGCUAACUUCGUGCCAGCAGCCGCGGUAAUACGAAGGGGGCUAGCGUUGCUCGGAAUUACUGGGCGUAAAGGGCGCGUAGGCGGACAGCUUAGUCAGAGGUGAAAGCCCAGGGCUCAACCUUGGAAUUGCCUUUGAUACUGGCUGUCUUGAGUUUGGGAGAGGUGAGUGGAACUCCGAGUGUAGAGGUGAAAUUCGUAGAUAUUCGGAAGAACACCAGUGGCGAAGGCGACUCACUGUCCCAAUACUGACGCUGAGGCGCGAAAGCGUGGGGAGCAAACAGGAUUAGAUACCCGGGUAGUCC
rnacentral:rRNA from 1 species